rnacentral:lncRNA from 1 species
AAGUUCUGAUACAUCUUGGUGAUGUCUGAGUGUAUGAUAAAUCUAGAAUUAUGUGCUUCCUCUACGAUGAGUCUCUUCAAGUUCAGGUCAUUAGGAGUGCACAGUCUUUCUUUGAAUUGAAGCAACCCAUUAUUAUGAACUCUGAAGCCAGGUCUUAAACCUUGUUCGGUUUCUUUCCUCAAUGUCCCUAUAGAGAGUUAGCUUCUUGAGCAUUUUUAACUUU